GAUGAACGCUGGCGGCGUGCCUAAUACAUGCAAGUCGAGCGAACAGACGAGGAGCUUGCUCCUCUGACGUUAGCGGCGGACGGGUGAGUAACACGUGGAUAACCUACCUAUAAGACUGGGAUAACUUCGGGAAACCGGAGCUAUUACCGGAUAAUAUAUUGAACCGCAUGGUUCAAUAGUGAAAGACGGUUUUGCUGUCACUUAUAGAUGGAUCCGCGCCGCAUUAGCUAGUUGGUAAGGUAACGGCUUACCAAGGCAACGAUGCGUAGCCGACCUGAGAGGGUGAUCGGCCACACUGGAACUGAGACACGGUCCAGACUCCUACGGGAGGCAGCAGUAGGGAAUCUUCCGCAAUGGGCGAAGGCCUGACGGAGCAACGCCGCGUGAGUGAUGAAGGUCUUCGGAUCGUAAAACUCUGUUAUUAGGGAAGAACAAAUGUGUAAGUAACUAUGCACGUCUUGACGGUACCUAAUCAGAAAGCCACGGCUAACUACGUG
rnacentral:rRNA from 1 species